rnacentral:tRNA from 1 species
UCCCUGGAGGACUAGUGGCUAGGCCACAGCACUCUCACUGCUACGGCCCGGGUUCAAUUCCCAGCCAGGGAA